rnacentral:rRNA from 1 species
UACGUAGGGGGCAAGCGUUAUCCAGAUUUACUGGGCGUAAAGCGCACGUAGGCGGCUUUGUAAGUCAGAGGUGAAAGCCUGGAGCUCAACUCCAGAACUGCCUUUGAGACUGCAUCGCUUGAAUCCAGGAGAGGUGAGUGGAAUUCCGAGUGUAGAGGUGAAAUUCGUAGAUAUUCGGAAGAACACCAGUGGCGAAGGCGGCUCACUGGACUGGUAUUGACGCUGAGGUGCGAAAGCGUGGGGAGCAAACAGG